GAAAGUGCUUUUUUAAAAAAAUUAUUUUAUUUUAUGAUCUUGCUCUAAAGGGAAGUAAAGUCAGAUGCUGAAUUGCACACAUUUUUUUCUCUUUCAUAUUUUCAACAUUGAACUUAAUUUCAAUGUUUAACAUAAAACAAUAAGUACACUUUCUCCACAUCAGUGAUUUGGGUGGUGUUUGUGAGGAGCCUGCGUUCUUUGGAAGGAAGACCUUUCGGAUGACCCGACCAGUCCUCCUCUUCGGACUCUGGAUGCUGGCGAAGCAGUCUCUCUCCAGUUUGAAUUUUAUGCUUGUGAAAGGGCUCUGUUGAUGAUUGUGAUGUCUGCAGCUUUCCAUCCGUAUGACCAGACACAUUCUCACCAGCUCCAUAUAUCAAGAUGAGGAGGGGAAAUCUGGUAGCUUUUCCUUCUGUUAACUGCUGGCAUCAGUAGAGUGAUGCAGACAUUUCUCUAUUAAGAACUGAGCUGAGACUGAAGCUUCAUUUUGUAUGAGACUGUGAAGAGGUCAUCUGAAGUCUCUCCCAGGUGAGGUUAUUAUGAUCCUGGAUUUGAAACUGUGACCUACUGGUUUGCCAGAUGCCAAGAACAAAUGCUCUGAAAUUGAUUUGCCAUAAGACAUGAUGAGCUGCUCUAGCUUGCCUGGGAAGAGUGGAAUAUUUAACCUGUGGGUGAGACUCCCUCUUGCUACCUAUCAGCUUUGCCACUGCUCUGAUCGAGAAACGUCUUGGGAGCAGAGUUGGUAAGAGUGAAUCAGACUAUCUGCCAGCAUAGGACUCGUGGUACCUGCUUGUUCGAUCCCUCAUUUCCAUCCCCUCUAUCCUUUGCCUAUUGUCAGUCAUUGUGGUUGAUCCAUUCAGAAGAAUCGUGAAUAUUCAUAGCCAUCUUAAUUUACUAAUAUAUAUUCACUAAUGUCAGAGAUCUGUCCAUGUGAUUCCUGAGCUUAUUACAGUAACAAGUUUCUCCAAUGCUACUGGGCAUAUUCUUCAUGUCUUUCUUUCCAGACUACUGACUCAAUUUAAGAUUACAUCCCUUGCUCCUUUGUGUGUAUUGCAUUUGCCCUGUAAAACUCAUUCCCUUCAUAUUGUAGGACAUCUAAAGACGUGGGGGGCAUUCCAAGAGUAGUCAUAAGAUGUGUCUGAUGCCGUUCUUUUAACGUGAUUCACUCUUCCUUUGAUCUGUGAAACUCCCUAGCAUUCUGUCAUGGCUAUUGGGGUCCUGGGAGAGAAAGUUGGAACCUGCUUAAGUAUUAAGUGGUGUAGGAUGAUUUUUCUCUGCUUCACACUCAGGCUGCUACCUCUGCAGUACAGUGUGCACCACUUCUCGCUGCAUCACUGAGGAAAGAAAUAGUAAAUUAAGUAGGUUUUUAAAUUGCCCAUUGAAUUCACAUCAUUAAAUAAUGCUAUAAGAAAUUCUUAAGCGGAGACAAGUAGGAGAAUUAAAAUGCUAUAAAUUAUGCCCGGGAGGGGCGGCGGGGUGUUAAGCACUUGUUUUGCCCUUUGUUCUGGCCACAAAGCACCCACAGCCAGGGAUGGUUCUGCCCACUGCUUAACAAUAAGUACCUGGGAGGAAGCGUGACCCCUGAGUGCCCCCAAAAGGGGGAUUAUUGUAACAGCAUUUAGCUCAUCUCUAGAAACUGGUGAAAAAUACCUCUGCAUCAUUCAGGUUACACUUGUCCCCAGGGAGCCAUUAAAGUUUCCUUCUUUCCCUCUUACUGCUGCCUGGUAUUUUCCAUUCCCCAAUUCCUUUCCUGUCCAGCAGCAAGGAAGUGGGAAAGGAACAGUGCUCAUCUUGCAUAUAAGGUAUUUCCCUGUAUCAUUCACCCUCAAAUGUCAGGAAAGUUGCAGCUACACCUGGUCAUUGGUAUUUUUCUCUGUUGUUAUUCUUGAUCAUGCCAUCCUGUCUCUUUGGCUAAUGUUUGUCCAAAUAUUCUCAUUUUCCAACCGGUCUGUAAA